rnacentral:rRNA from 1 species
AGUAACGACAAUGGGUGUGAAAAACACCCACGCCGAAAGACCAAGGUUUCCUGCGCAACGUUAAUCGACGCAGGGUUAGUCGGUCCCUAAGGCGAGGCUGAAAAGCGUAGUCGAUGGAAAACAGGUUAAUAUUCCUGUACUUCUAGUUAUUGCGAUGGAGGGACGGAGAAGGCUAGGCCAGCUUGGCGUUGGUUGUCCAAGUUUAAGGUGGUAGGCUGGAAUCUUAGGUAAAUCCGGGGUUCUAAGGCCGAGAGCUGAUGACGAGUUACCUUUUAGGUGACGAAGUGGUUGAUGCCAUGCUUCCAAGAAAAGCUUCUAAGCUUCAGAUAACUAGGAACCGUACCCCAAACCGACACAGGUGGUUGGGUAGAGAAUACCAAGGCGCUUGAGAGAACUCGGGUGAAGGAACUAGGCAAAAUGGUGCCGUAACUUCGGGAGAAGGCACGCUGAUAUGUAGGUGAAGCGACUUGCUCGUGGAGCUGAAAUCAGUCGAAGAUACCAGCUGGCUGCAACUGUUUAUUAAAAACACAGCACUGUGCAAACACGAAAGUGGACGUAUACGGUGUGACGCCUGCCCGGUGCCGGAAGGUUAAUUGAUGGGGUUAGCGGUAACGCGAAGCUCUUGAUCGAAGCCCCAGUAAACGGCGGCCGUAACUAUAACGGUCCUAAGGUAGCGAAAUUCCUUGUCGGGUAAGUUCCGACCCGCACGAAAGGCGUAACGAUUUGGGCACUGUCUCAACGAGAGACUCGGUGAAAUCAUAGUACCUGUGAAGAUGCAGGUUACCCGCGACAGGACGGAAAGACCCCGUGGAGCUUUACUGUAGUCUGAUAUUGAAAUUCGUCACAGCUUGUACAGGAUAGGUAGGAGCCUUUGAUACGUGAGCGCUAGCUUACGU